UGGGGAAUCUUGCGCAAUGGGCGAAAGCCUGACGCAGCCAUGCCGCGUGAAUGAUGAAGGUCUUAGGAUUGUAAAGUUCUUUCGCUCGUGACGAUGAUGACGGUAACGAGAGAAGAAGCCCCGGCUAACUUCGUGCCAGCAGCCGCGGUAAUACGAAGGGGGCUAGCGUUGUUCGGAAUUACUGGGCGUAAAGCGCGCGUAGGCGGCUUUGCAAGCCAGAGGUGAAAUGCCUGAGCUCAACUUAGGAAUUGCCUUUGGGACUGCGAGGCUUCGAGGACUGGAGAGGUGAGUGGAAUUCCCAGUGUAGAGGUGAAAUUCGUAGAUAUUGGGAAGAACACCAGUGGCGAAGGCGGCUCACUGGCCAGUUUCUGACGCUAAAGUGCGAAAGCGUGGGGAUCAAACAGGAUUAGAUACCCAUGUAGUCCCUGAGCGGGCUGGCAAGGCGCAU
rnacentral:rRNA from 1 species